UCCAUUGAGAGGACGUGAACAUCAGAGGGAUGUGACUGACCAAUAAGGAUUAGGUCAAAACUGUUGGAAAAGUCUUGUUGC
rnacentral:sRNA from 1 species